UUUUCAGUUGUAUGUACUUGUUUUUAGUGAUAUGUAAAUAUUGUACAAUCAUGUGACUUAGAUUUUUUUAUGAUAUCAUGUGACAAUUUUUUUAAUGAUAUCAUGUGACUGUUUUAUGAUGAUAUGUAAUUGUAUGAUUCUAAUUACAAUUGAUUGAAUUUUGCUAUUUAUUUUUUAAUUUGAUUUUGUGUGCUAUUAAUUUAGUAUGGAAAUUUUAAUUUUAGAAUGAUCUUAUCAGUGCUUUAAAUUUUAAUGACUACUUCACAUUUUUCAUGAUUUAAAAAAAAAAACUUUGUCAUGUUGAUCAUGAGAGAAGACGUUGUUAAUUUUUUCAACAAUUAUAAUGAUAAUAAAUUCUAAUGUAUGAAAUGCUCAAAUCUUUGAAAAGAUUAAAAGUCUCUUUGAUCCUAAAAUGUUGAAAUUUUCAUUUUUUUUUCAUUUGAUAAAUCCAAUAUUUUAGGAUUUUAUAAAUUUUAAUGCCUGUUGAAUAUUUAAAUUAUCUUUGGGACAGAAUAUCACACAGGAAAGAUCAUUAGAUUGUAAAUGUUAAAUAGAAUUUCAACUACAGACAUUUUUCACACAUGAGGAUCUAGAAAUGAAUGUGAUUGUUGAAUACAAAUUACAUCAAAAAUAUGUAUAAAUAUAUAAUAUAUCUGUGUAAAGAAAAAAGAAAAAACUAGUAUAAAGGGGAGAUAUUUUUUUUUUUGUGUCCUUUAGUACUAAAAAUAGAAUAUUUAUGAUCACCAGGAUAACUAUGAAUCUGAGAUAACAUGAAAAAAAGGUUUGCUCUUUGUGAUCAACAAUUUCAUAACCAAAUGCAUUAUGGGUAAUCCUUCUAGAAAUGUGCCUGAAAAUGUAGCAGAAAGGUCUGAAACAAACAAUUCAAAUGUUGAAACAUCAUGUCAAAAAUAUGGAAUUUCUCAUAAAGAAUAAUUAUUAAGAUACUAAGUCAAUUAAUAAUUUUUAUAAAUUUAAUUUUGAAUUUACUUAUAUUAGGAUAGCAUUGUGAUUGGUUUAUCAAAACCUUAUCUAUAUUCUAAUUGAUAUAUGCAAAUCUGAUCAAUGUUUUAAUUGGUUUAAAAAAACACUGAUUGAUUAAAUCAAUUUCUGAACUAUAUUUUGAUUGGUCAAAUCAAAUUCUGAAAUAUAUUCUGAUUAUUUAAAUCAAAUUCUCAACUGUAUUCUGAUUGGUUUAUCUAAUUGUAAUCAGAAUUCUGAUUGGUUAAUUAACUAUUGUUGUCAGCUUCAUUAUGAAGUUAAUCAUAUGUUCAUUUAUAGAAUGUAAUUAUGGUAAAUAAAAGCCAUAGUCUGUUGUCCGUCGUGUUCAUGUAAUAAAGUAGAUGACAUCAUU
rnacentral:lncRNA from 1 species